rnacentral:tRNA from 1 species
GCCGGGGUAGCUCAGUUGGUAGAGCAAGCGAUUUGUAAUCGCUCGGUCGGAGGUUCGAGCCCUCUCCCCGGCUCCA